AUUGAACGCUGGCGGCAUGCCUUACACAUGCAAGUCGAACGGUAACAGGUCUUCGGAUGCUGACGAGUGGCGAACGGGUGAGUAAUACAUCGGAACGUGCCCGAUCGUGGGGGAUAACGGAGCGAAAGCUUUGCUAAUACCGCAUACGAUCUACGGAUGAAAGCAGGGGACCGCAAGGCCUUGCGCGGACGGAGCGGCCGAUGGCAGAUUAGGUAGUUGGUGGGAUAAAAGCUUACCAAGCCGACGAUCUGUAGCUGGUCUGAGAGGACGACCAGCCACACUGGGACUGAGACACGGCCCAGACUCCUACGGGAGGCAGCAGUGGGGAAUUUUGGACAAUGCGCGAAAGCCUGAUCCAGCCAUGCCGCGUGCAGGAUGAAGGCCUUCGGGUUGUAAACUGCUUUUGUACGGAACGAAAAGACUCUUUCUAAUAAAGAGGGUCCAUGACGGUACCGUAAGAAUAAGCACCGGCUAACUACGUGCCAGCCGCCGCUGUAA
rnacentral:rRNA from 1 species